rnacentral:rRNA from 1 species
AACGAACGCUGGCGGCAGGCUUAACACAUGCAAGUCGAGCGCCCCGCAGGGGAGCGGCAGACGGGUGAGUAACGCGUGGGAAUCUACCGUGCCCUACGGAAUAGCUCCGGGAAACUGGAAUUAAUACCGUAUACGCCCUACGGGGGAAAGAUUUAUCGGGGUAUGAUGAGCCCGCGUUGGAUUAGCUAGUUGGUGGGGUAAAGGCCUACCAAGGCGACGAUCCAUAGCUGGUCUGAGAGGAUGAUCAGCCACAUUGGGACUGAGACACGGCCCAAACUCCUACGGGAGGCAGCAGUGGGGAAUAUUGGACAAUGGGCGCAAGCCUGAUCCAGCCAUGCCGCGUGAGUGAUGAAGGUCUUAGGAUUGUAAAGCUCUUUCGCCAGGGACGAUAAUGACGGUACCUGGAUAAGAAGCCCCGGCUAACUUCGUGCCAGCCGCCGCCGUAA